rfam:Triticum urartu cultivar G1812 contig567310, whole genome shotgun sequence.
GAAAUCGUCUCCAAGAUCCUCGUUGGCUUGGACAUGGAGUACAAUCCGGUCGUGUCUACCCUUGCCGCUCGGGUGGAACCCAUCACCGUCCAGGAGCUGUACAAUCAGCUGCUGAGCUUCGAUG